AGGACUAUACUUUCAGGGAUCAUUUCUUUAAUUUGUUACUAGAGAAUUUCCUCUGAUGAUGUAGAGUACCCAGAACUACAAGGAGGGGCAAUGUAUUCUCUCUUGAGUUUGAAGCUAGCUCUAAGUGUUCCUUUGGCAACUGCCUUUUACCAUUGAAGAUCAUUCUUCUCUUCCUUUGGGAGAGUUAGAGGGACAGGAUGUGAUCUGAGUGU